CAAAUGAGGUACUUUCCUGACCCCAGCCAGGGCCUCUGUCCCUUUAAGAGAGUCCUUGAGCCAGGCAGUUGGAGAAUCACAGAGAUGAGGGCCAGAUGGCCAGCAAACAGGAUGGCAGUGAGUUAGGGAGAGGGCAGCCAGUGGAGCCAUCUGUUUUAGCACCUUGCAAUAAGAGGCCUGUGGCUGGUGGCUGCAGGUGGACUGCUUUGGGGAGGAGUGGGCACCCUGACCUGGGGCCACUCAUUGAUCCAAUUGGCAGGACUUCUGUCUGAAGUGGAACUCAGUGGUGCAGACCCAGCAGGCAAGACAAAGAAGCCUUUCCUGGGCAACCCACUGCUGAAAUAGAGGAAGGAGCAACACAGAACCCCAACUCAGCCCUAGAGCCUCAAGGUCUGCAGUCCAAUGGUCUCAUCACAGGGGUUACCAGCCCCUCUACAGAUAAGAAAUUGGAGGCUCAGAGAGGUAAGGAGACUUCCCCGAGUCCCCACACUCAGUGAAUGGGAGAGCUGCCAUGGAUCUGAGGCCAGCCUGAUUCCAAAGUCCAUGUCCCUCCUGACCAGCACCUCUGCCAGGCGUGUUCCCCACGUGUUGAGUUGAAGAUAUCAGGCUGGGCAGGGUCAAGAAAACAUAUGGACACCUGGAAGCGCUCAUUUUCUGGAGUCCCUGGUGGGGGAAGGAUGUCAUUUUGGGGGUGCUAAGGAAGAUGUUCCAGGAAAGUCAGUGUGGUGUGGUGAGGGACGGUAUCUACACUUACAGGGCCUACUGCCAGGAGGAACCUGUGAAUCUGGUGUUUCUGCUCUUCUAUUUGCUUGAUAACUUGGUUUCUGGUCCCUCCAAGAAUCAUGCAGAGAUAAGAAAAGGAGGUAAGGAGAAAGGAAAUGUUCCUAACUGGUUGGCACUUUCAAAGGCUAGCUUUGCCCUCUCUGAGUGUGACAGAGGUUUUAAGUUGGCAGUUUCCCUCCUGGGAACUCUGCAGAUUUUCUGGAGACAGUCCUGUUUUGAUUCUAAGUUCCUUAACCUAGAUAGACUUUUCAUUUGGGUAGUGGUUCCCCACCUUCCUAUUGGCCUCUCCCUUCAGGUCCUUCCACCAACACAGGAUCCCUUUCACCAUGAACCGACAUUCUUACUUGCUUUUCCAAACGUGACAUGCCCUCCUCUGUUCUCUGCUUUACUGACCUGACCUGCCACUGAAGAUCAUGUCCC
rnacentral:lncRNA from 1 species